UCUUUGUACAAACCUGCAUUUAAAUGCGGUACAGUCCCUCACAUUUUACUAAAAUAAAGAAAAUAAUUUAUAAAACACGCAAGCCUAGCUCACAAUAGGCUACCACUCUUAAUGCUCCGAUGCAAAGUAAACCACAAUUUCUUUUGAAUAAUAUAACACACAAUUCAUAUUAUAUAAAUAAUACUGCACACUAUUUAAAUGUGUCAAAUCUAAAAUAUGGUGUAGAGAAAAUAUAAGCACAGGCUCAUAGGCUUGACAUUCAUCCUGCUUGAAUUCGUUCUAAGAAACGCACAUAUCUUCAUAAGGACUAAACUUUCAUCUGUGAAUAUUAAAUAUUUUAACUAGCCUAAAGUGUUUUCCUUUCAUUUUCCCCGACUGCAGUCAAAUAUAACAAAACUGUGAGGCAAAGCUGACGUCUAUUCGCGAAAAUGUGCUUUGAUGCACUUGUUUGAAAACUUGUGAUUAAAGCGCCACUCAGCGGUCAAAAGCUGCAAAUAUAAAAAAAUAAGUAAAAUAAAUGUAGAACCAACGUUUUGGAUGGCCACCUACUGUAUAUAUGAUCUUACAACUGUAAACAACAACAAAAAGAUAAAUAAAAACAACUUAAAACAUGUAUUUCUGUAAUGAUCCAGAACUCGACAUGGGAUCCAUAUGCAGGCUUUAUUGCAGAAACUCGUAGUUGUACAGGCAAUGGUCAAUACCAGCAAUAUCAGCAACGUAGGGAGAACAGAGAAUCAAAAUCCAGUAAACAAGCAAGGGUCGGUAGGUAGGCAGCAAAGGUACUUAAAGGAGAUCAAACAGGGUCGGUAACAGGAAAACAAACACGGGUAGUAACGCUCAGAAAUGACAGACACAGCAAAUCAAGACUUCGUGUUGAACUUUUGUGAUAGUCCAGCUUUUAUACGCAAGUCCUGAUGAAGAGCACCUGUGAAGGUGAUUAGAGUCCAAGGACGGGGCUUGUGGGAAAUGUUGUGUAGUCAGUGUAAAUGAAUGGAUGGAUGCGUGUGUGUCAGUAUUCAGGUGAGGGUGCCCUCCGUUCGUCUCCGUGACAAUUUCUAUGUGUGAAUUAUUUUCAACCAAUGCUAGCCAUUAAUCUGUAGCAUGGAACACAACAUAUCUCUUCCGUUCAGGAGAGAGCAGGAAAAGACUAGUAGGGGUAACUGCAGCCUGGAGCAAUGGGCAUGCCAAAAGGUUUCUCAUUGGUGAAACAAAAGGUAGGGGGCAUGCCAAAAGGUAAUGUGAAAGCUGGCUGUUAAAAAAAAAAAAAAAAAAGCUGGCGAGCCAUUUACUCUUAAUCGCAGAUUAAAAGGAAGCCAUAAAUUCAACAUAAUACUAUAAAACCAAAUUUAAUUCUUCCAAGGUAAAAAUGGCGUUAAUGCUAUUAAGAACAUUAUUUUAAAUUAACUUUGAAAGUACCUUCAAAACUUCUGCAUGGCGCGGGUUACUGACGUCAUCACCACCGCAAGUUUAGGUCUUGAUUUAUCAGUAAUCAAAAACAAAUUACAGUUAUUUUUUGAGAAUAAAAAGGUCUCUUAACACGGUUAGUCGCA
ensembl:lncRNA